UGGUUAAACUACACUCAGCGAUUUAAUACGUUUCAUACGCAUAAAAUUAUAUCGUUAUUUUAUUUUAACCUAAAAAGAAAAUCUUCUCCCUUCGUUGCUCUGUUGCUGAAACGUUUUGUCCCUCGGCCUUCCACUUUUUCCCUCCUGUUAGUUUUUUUCAUUAAGGCUAUUUAGGAGUGGGAAUGGUUUGGUGUGGUCCGUGUUUGGAUAAGCGCGUAGGUGGAGAAACAACGGAGGGGGCUUGUUUUGAUUUUCCCCCUUCAUAUUCCCGGCAUUUUCAACGCCCCCUCGGGGCACCUUCUUGUUAAGUCAUGCUGAUUUUGCCGUAACAAAACGGAGGGGUACACCAAAGGAAAAAAGAAAAAAAAAGAAAAGAAAAGAAAUGGGUGUGGUGUAG
rnacentral:sRNA from 1 species